rnacentral:rRNA from 1 species
GGGCCAAUGCGGCAGGCUACACAUGCAGUCGAACGGUAACAGGAAGCAGCUUGCUGCUUUGCUGACGAGUGGCGGACGGGUGAGUAAUGUCUGGGAAACUGCCUGAUGGAGGGGGAUAACUACUGGAAACGGUAGCUAAUACCGCAUAACGUCGCAAGACCAAAGAGGGGGACCUUCGGGCCUCUUGCCAUCGGAUGUGCCCAGAUGGGAUUAGCUAGUAGGUGGGGUAACGGCUCACCUAGGCGACGAUCCCUAGCUGGUCUGAGAGGAUGACCAGCCACACUGGAACUGAGACACGGUCCAGACUCCUACGGGAGGCAGCAGUGGGGAAUAUUGCACAAUGGGCGCAAGCCUGAUGCAGCCAUGCCGCGUGUAUGAAGAAGGCCUUCGGGUUGUAAAGUACUUUCAGCGGGGAGGAAGGCGAUAAGGUUAAUAACCUUGUCGAUUGACGUUACCCGCAGAAGAAGCACCGGCUAACUCCGUGCCAGCAGCCGCU